rnacentral:rRNA from 1 species
UGGGGAAUAUUGCACAAUGGAGGGAACUCUGAUGCAGCGACGCCGCGUGAGUGAUGAAGGAAUUCGUUUCGUAAAACUCUGUUCUAUGGGAAGAAAAGGACUGUACCAUAGGAGAAAGCUCCGGCUAAAUACGUGCCAGCAGCCGCGGUAAUACGUAUGGAGCGAGCGUUGUCCGGAAUUAUUGGGCGUAAAGGGUGCGCAGGCGGCUUUACAAGUUGGAUGUGAAAUAUUGUGGCUCAACCACAAACGUGCAUCCAAAACUGCAAAGCUUGAGUUAAGGAGAGGUAAAUGGAAUUCCUGGUGUAGCGGUGGAAUGCGUAGAUAUCAGGAGGAAUACCGGUGGCGAAGGCGACUUACUGGACUUAAACUGACGCUCAGGCACGAAAGCGUGGGGAGCAAACAGG